rnacentral:rRNA from 1 species
GACGAACGCUGGCGGCGUGCUUAACACAUGCAAGUCGAGCGGUAAGGCCCUUCGGGGUACACGAGCGGCGAACGGGUGAGUAACACGUGGGUGAUCUGCCUCGCACUUCGGGAUAAGCCUGGGAAACUGGGUCUAAUACCGGAUAUGACCUUUCAGUGCAUGCUGUUUGGUGGAAAGAUUUAUCGGUGCGAGAUGGGCCCGCGGCCUAUCAGCUUGUUGGCGGGGUAACGGCCCACCAAGGCGACGACGGGUAGCCGACCUGAGAGGGUGACCGGCCACACUGGGACUGAGACACGGCCCAGACUCCUACGGGAGGCAGCAGUGGGGAAUAUUGCACAAUGGGCGAAAGCCUGAUGCAGCGACGCCGCGUGAGGGAUGACGGCCUUCGGGUUGUAAACCUCUUUCGACAGGGACGAAGCGAGAGUGACGGUACCUGUAGAAGAAGCACCGGCCAACUACGUG